GAUGUCAUCCCAGGCAUUCUGAGGGCAGGUGAGCCCAUGGCUAAACCCUGGUGGUGGGAUGCUCCAGCUGCUACAGGGAAGCAGAAAGGAGUUAUCUCCUGGGAAGGAGCAAUUCCCUAAGCUGUCUGAGCUGGGAAAUGCUUGCUGUGCUGGGAAGCACGCAGGGUCGUUAACCGCUGUGGAGAAGCUGUACCCUUCUGCUCCUGGCUGUGGGUCUGAGAACCUGAAAUAGCCUUUUCCUCUGAAGCUCCCCGCUGCUGCUUGGAUAUUACAGUGGGAUUUAUUGCACGUUGCCAUAGCCACAGCAAGGACCAGCAGCCCACAUGCACAGGAAAUGUCAGAACAACGUCUCUGCGCCCGGCUGUGCAGCUGGGACACUCCUGCUUUAUGCCAACAGAUGGAGGUGUAACAGAGGACAGCAAUGGGAAUUUGGAAGCUGGAUACUUGGGCAAGAGCAGCAUGGGUGAGCAGUUCACUUAAAAAAA